rnacentral:rRNA from 1 species
UGGGGAAUAUUGCACAAUGGGCGAAAGCCUGAUGCAGCCAUGCCGCGUGUAUGAAGAAGGCCUUCGGGUUGUAAAGUACUUUCAGCAGUGAGGAAGGGUAUGUAGUUAAUAGCUGCAUAUCUUGACGUUAGCUGCAGAAGAAGCACCGGCUAACUCCGUGCCAGCAGCCGCGGUAAUACGGAGGGUGCGAGCGUUAAUCGGAAUUACUGGGCGUAAAGCGCAUGCAGGUGGUUUGUUAAGUCAGAUGUGAAAGCCCGGGGCUCAACCUCGGAAUUGCAUUUGAAACUGGCAGGCUAGAGUACUGUAGAGGGGGGUAGAAUUUCAGGUGUAGCGGUGAAAUGCGUAGAGAUCUGAAGGAAUACCAGUGGCGAAGGCGGCCCCCUGGACAGAUACUGACACUCAGAUGCGAAAGCGUGGGGAGCAAACAGGAUUAGAUACCCUGGUAGUCCACGCCGUAAACGAUGUCUACUUGGAGGUUGUGGCCUUGAGCCGUGGCUUUCGGAGCUAACGCGUUAAGUAGACCGCCUGGGGAGUACGGUCGCAAGAUUAAAACUCAAAUGAAUUGACGGGGGCCCGCACAAGCGGUGGAGCAUGUGGUUUAAUUCGAUGCAACGCGAAGAACCUUACCUACUCUUGACAUCCAGAGAACUUUUCAGAGAUGAAUUGGUGCCUUCGGGAACUCUGAGACAGGUGCUGCAU